rnacentral:piRNA from 1 species
UGAUGUGGGCCCUUUCAGCAUCUCCCU